rnacentral:rRNA from 1 species
UACGGAGGGUGCAAGCGUUAAUCGGAAUUACUGGGCGUAAAGCGUGCGCAGGCGGUUUGUUAAGUCUGCUGUGAAAUCCCCGAGCUCAACUUGGGAAUUGCAGUGGAUACUGGCAAGCUGGAGUACGGUAGAGGAAGGUGGAAUUCCCGGUGUAGCAGUGAAAUGCGUAGAGAUCGGGAGGAACACCAGUGGCGAAGGCGGCAUUCUGGACCAGUACUGACGCUCAUGAACGAAAGCGUGGGGAGCAAACAGG